UAUUCCUGGACUGAGAACAUAAAGAACAUUAGUCUCUCCUGCCUUCAAGAACUUCAGCUGUUAAUGUUUACCAUCAAGUCCAAGGAUAUCAGCAACAUCUGUCGAUUUCUACGACUCAGCCACUGUUCUGUUGUCGAAAGACUAUUCAUAUGCCCGUGGAUGAGAAAGAGGAUUUCCAGGACGCACUUCCGGGUAUACGAGAAGACCAGGAAGAGGAGAACUUCAAGAAGUUAGCAUUUGUCAAGAUAAUGAACUUCAAGUUUCAUCUCCUACACAUGGAACUCGUAGAGCUUCUGUGUAGAAAAUCUCCAUCAUUAAAGAAGCUCCUUCUGAUCACUGGUGGUGGAUUCCCAACGGAGACUGAAUGUUGGGCUGUAAAGACCGAUGCAGUGAUAAUGGUAGUUGACUCAGACGACAGGGUUGUCAUGCCUUUCCACUCUCAAAUAUUCACACACAAUUAGGUUUCUUCUACAUCUGUUUGUGCCUCGUUAGAUUUGUAUGUAUCUCUCGUCUCCAUUAGUAUUGAGCCGUGCCGGUAUAUAUGCUUUACUGUAGUGCGACAUACAAAGUUCGGUGGUUGGACUGGCUCUGCCUUUCUUGUUCAACCGAUUUGCAACGGAGUGUUGGUUUUGAACUGUAAUUGGAGUUUCAUUCUUGUUCCUUGGGAUCA